rnacentral:rRNA from 1 species
UACGGGGGGAGCAAGCGUUGUUCGGAUUUAUUGGGCGUAAAGGGCGCGUAGGCGGCUUAACAAGUCACUUGUGAAAUCUCCGGGCUUAACUCGGAACGGCCAAGUGAAACUGUCAAGCUAGAGUGCAGAAGGGGCAAUCGGAAUUCUUGGUGUAGCGGUGGAAUGCGUAGAGAUCCGGAGGAAGACCGGUGGCGAAGGCGGCCUGCUGGCAGAUACGUGACACUGAGGCGCGACAGCGUGGGGAGCAAACAGG